rnacentral:tRNA from 1 species
GGUCUGAUGGUCUAGUGGUAGGAUUCUCGCUUUGGGUUGGGUCUCCUCAGCCGCAAAAUGCGAGAGGUCCCGGGUUCAAUCCCCGGUCAGACCC